rnacentral:rRNA from 1 species
GACGAACGCUGGCGGCAGGCUUAACACAUGCAAGUCGAGCGGAAAGGCCCUGGUUGUUUGGUUUGCUCGAGGGGCAAACGGGUGAGUAACACGAGAGUGACCUGACCUUGACUUUGGGAUAAGUUCAGGAAACUGGGGCUCAGACCAGAUAGGAGCUCCUGCUGCUUGGUGGGUGUUGGAAAGUUUCGGCGGUUGGGGAUGGACUCGCGGCUUAUCGUCUUGUUGGUGGGGUGGUGGCUUACCAAGGCUUUGACGGGUAGCCGGCCUGAGGGGGUGACCGGCACAAGUGGCACAGAGAUACGGGACAGAGUCGUACGGGAGGCAGCAGUAGGGAAUAUUGCAUGAUGCGCCCAAGUCUGGUGCAGCAACGCGGCGUGCGGGGUGACGGCCUUCGGGUUGGAGGCCGCUAACGCCUGUGACGGAGCGUGAGUGAAGGUAAUGGGUAAAUAAGCACCGGCUAACUCCGUG